UCUAAGUGUAAUCCAAAGGUCACAAAACUUUCAUGAUUAUUUUCAUGAAAGAUUUUUCAUGAUACCUAGCAUUGCUGUUUCAGAUAUUUCUACUUCACUAGACACCAUGAAAACAACUAGUAAUGUUGUUGUGAUGUUACUUUUUGUUCUUCUUCUUCUUUUCAUUUGAACAAAUUCAAACAAAAUUUGCAUAGAGAGCGAGCGAAAAGCUCUUCUCAACUUCAAGGGAAGCCUCAAAGAUCACUCGAACCACCUGUCGUUGUGGGUUGGACAAAAUUGUUGCACAUGGAAAGGAGUGGGCUGCAGCAAAAGAACAGGCCAUGUCAUGAAGCUUGAUCUUCGCAAUCCAACUUUGUUUGAUGAUGCCAAUUAUGGGUUGGGAGUUGAGCAGAGAAGACAGGUGGGAAGCAGAACCAAAGAGUGAAGUGUGGCUUAAUAUAAUUGUAGAAACUGUAGAAGCUUGUCAGAAAAUAUGAAUUAAAAAGUUCUUAUCAUUAUUAUUAUUUAGAUUUUUAAUUAUGUUAGACUUUUUUUCCUUCUAGCCUUUGGAAAAUCAAAAAAAGCCUUGAUGACUUUUUUGUUUAUAUAUGUAAGAUGUAGUCUAUAAAUUGGCUUUGACGCCAACAUAAUAAACAAUGUAAAUUCUCUCCA